rnacentral:lncRNA from 1 species
CAAUAGUGAAGAUAGGACUGACAAGAACAAUUAUAUGUGAAGAACCUAUAGAACAACAUGACCUAACUAUUCAUGAAAUAGUAGAAUUCCUGCAGAACAAGAGAGCUAUUAUGAUCAAAGUUAUUAUUCAAGAGUUAAUAAACAGUUAUGAAGAAGGAGGAAAAUGGAUCUACAACAGUAAAAAUAGUACAAUAGUUUAUCCAAAUGCCAAGAUGACAAAGGACAUAGAAGAACUACCUAGAUAGAUUACUACCCUUGCAAAUUGGGAAAUUACACCAACAACUAAUGCAUUAAGGACUUAUCCAAAGCAUAUGACGGAGAAGACCAAAUACCUAUUGUGUCAACAAUUGAAGGACUUAUUCAACUUACACCAUUGUAAUUAUUGCAACCAAAAAGAAGAUAUUCCUAAUGUUUACUUACCACCUACAACAGCCAAGGAAGAAGACAAAGAACAAGACAUAAGCAAUGUCGACUAAAAGCAAUUAUGUAAAAAGUCUAAAAAAAAAGAUAUUCCUAAUGUUUACUUACCACCUACAACAGCCAAGGAAGAAGACAAAUAACUAAUGGAGCAAACUAAGGUACGCAAUUUUAUGGCAAGCUAAAUUUUGUAUGGCAAGGUUUUAGGAAAGUAGUAAUAAUACUAAAAUGAUAAUGAUCCUGUGAACACCGGGAGUUCGGUGUAACAUUAGUUUAAAGGUUUAAUAACAUGGCAAGCUAAAUUUUGUAUGGCAAGGUUUUAGGAAAGUAGUAAUAAUACUAAAAUGAUAAUGAUCCUGUGAACACCGGGAGUUCGGUGUAACAUUAGUUUAAAGGUUUUAUAACAGCAGUAAUGAAAGCUAAAGUGGAUCUAGCCGUGCACUUUGUCCGCGCCAGGCAUGUGGCCGUUAUGCGGUGUUGUGAUGCUUAAAUUGGCUUGGGAUCCUUACCUGCUUUACCUUUAAACUAAUGUUACAUCGAACUCCCGGUGUUCACCGGGUCAUUAUCAUUUUAAUAUUAUUACUACUUUCCUAAAACCUUGCCAUAAAAAAUUUAGCUUGCCAUAAAAUUGUGUACCUUAGUUUGCUCCAUUAGUUCUUUGGUUGAUGCUAGAUGUUUUAGUAUGUAAGAGAGAUUGAGAGUAUUUGAGAGAGUUUUAGUGAAAGAGAGAUUUUAUUCACAAACUGAGGAAAUCCGAAGGUAAUCCAACCCUCUGAUACCCAUUCAAAAAUAUACAAGACCCUAUAUAUAGACAAAUAUUUAAGGGGUAAUAAUUAGAGUGCGGGUGCUCAUUGGGCCCCAUCAUCCAUCCAAAUUAUUCCUUCUUAUCUCUUUGCUGACUUGCUAGGACACGUUACAAAUUUACAUAAAAGCUUUAACUAUUUACAAAGUAAUAAUAGUAGCUAUACCUAGCUAUAUCUAACCUACCAAAGACUUUUUACAAAGAAAUAAAUACUAGCCUACCUAAAUCAUAUCCAAUACUUUUUACAUGAUUGUAGUCUUUACUCAAAGACUUUUUACAUAAUUGCUUUUAGUCGACAUUGCUUAUGUCUUGUUCUUUGUCUUCUUCCUUGGCUGUUGUAGGUGGUAAGUAAACAUUAGGAAUAUCUUCUUUUUGGUUGCAAUAAUUACAAUGGUGUAAGUUGAAUAAGUCCUUCAAUUGUUGACAUAAUAGGUAUUUUGUCUUCUCCGUCAUCUGCUUUGGAUAUGUCCUCAAUGCAUUAGUUGUUGGCAUAAUUUCCCAAUUUGCAAGGGUAGUAAUCCAUCUAGGUAAUUCUUCUAUGUCCUUUGUCAUCUUGGCAUUUGGAUAAAUUAGUGUACUGUUUUUACUGUUGUAGAUCCAUUUUCCUCCUUCUUCAUAACUGUUUAUUAACUCUUGAAUAAUAACUUUGAUCAUAAUAGCUCUUUUGUUCUGUAGAANNNNNNNNNNNNNNNNNNNNNNNNNNNNACUAUUUUUACUGUUGUAGAUCCAUUUUCCUCCUUCUUCAUAACUGUUUAUUAACUCUUGAAUAAUAACUUUGAUCAUAAUAGCUCUCUUGUUCUGCAGGAAUUCUACUAUUUCCUGAAUAGUUAGGUCAUGUUGUUCUAUAGGUUCUUCACAUAUAAUUGUUCUUGUCAGUCCUAUCUUCACUAUUGUAAUAAGAUGGUAUAUUUUCUGUGGUGUUACUUCACAGGGUGCUGAAUAAAUCCGAAUAAAUAUUAAGUCUGCUUUGGUAAUUCCUAAGUAUUUCUUUACUACUUGAUAUAGUUCUGGAAUAUGUUGUAGAUUAUCUCCAUUUUGCGUAUAUACUGCAUGCAAUCGUCCAUAAUUAUACAUGGUCUGUAUGAGUUUUGCGUCUGUCUUGUUUAGUGCUACUAAUUUGUCAUAUCCCUUCAAAGGUUUAGUUUGCCAGCCAAUAAGUAUUUCUAGGUUAUAGUCUGGUGAAUGUAUGUUUUUGUUUAGGUAAUUGGCAACUUGUAUGAAUUGGUUCAGGUAGUUGUGUAUUCUUUGUACAAAUUGGUUUGUAUAGGUUUUUUGGUAAUUUCGCUGUAAGUAUUUGUUUGGGGUUUUGGUAAUUGGUAAAUAAAAUCUGUUCUUCUGGGUAAAGGUUGUUCUGGUCUAAUUUGGAUGUUGAAAGGUUUUGAGUAUUUUGUAUAGGUUUUUUGGUGAUUUCGCUGUAAGUAUUUGUUUGAGAUUUUGGUAAUUGGUAAAUAAAAUCUGUUCUUUUGGGUAUAGGUUGUUCUGGUCUAAUUUGAAUAUUGAAAGGUUUGAGUUUUUUUAGCUUGGUGAGUAGUUACUUCUAUUUUUUUUCAUUUUUUGUCAUAUUUUUCUUGGCUAAUUGUUAUCUCUUUUAAUUCUUGUAGGUCUAUUUCUUGUUCUUUUUUGAUGUCUUCCAUCUUGCUAAUUCUGCUUAGCUUUUCAAUAUUUUUCUCCAUUCCUUGU